AUUGAACGCUGGCGGCAUGCCUUACACAUGCAAGUCGAACGGUAACAGGUCUUCGGAUGCUGACGAGUGGCGAACGGGUGAGUAAUACAUCGGAACGUGCCUAGUAGUGGGGGAUAACUACUCGAAAGAGUGGCUAAUACCGCAUGAGAUCUACGGAUGAAAGCAGGGGAUCGCAAGACCUUGUGCUACUAGAGCGGCCGAUGGCAGAUUAGGUAGUUGGUGGGAUAAAAGCUUACCAGGCCGCAGAUCUGUAGACGGUCUGAGAGGACGAUCAGCCACAUUGGGACUGAGACAAGGCCCAGGCUCCUACGGGAGGCAGCAGUGGGGAAUUUUGGACAAUGGGCGAAGGCCUGAUCCAGCAAUGCCGCGUGCAGGAUGAAGGCCCUCGUGUUGUAAACUGCUUUUGUACGGAACGAAAAGCCCUGGGUUAAUACCCUGGGGUCAUGACGGUACCGUAAGAAUAAGCACCGGCUAACUACGUGCCAGCCGCCGCCGUAA
rnacentral:rRNA from 1 species